rnacentral:rRNA from 1 species
UACGUAGGUGGCGAGCGUUGUCCGGAUUUAUUGGGCGUAAAGCGCGCGCAGGUGGUGCGGUAAGUCUGCCGUGAAAUCUCCCGGCUCAACUGGGAGGGUGCGCCGGAAACUGGAGUGCUCGAACGUGGGAGAGGAAAGCGGAAUUCCUGGUGUAGCGGUGAAAUGCGUAGAUAUCAGGAGGAACACCUGCGGUGUAGACGGCUUUCUGGACCAUUGUUGACGCUGAGACACGAAAGCGUGGGUAGCAAACAGG